rnacentral:lncRNA from 1 species
UCAGUUUCAACUUCUUUGCAAGGUUGUGCUGUUUCUUUGACAAACCGUUCUGCCUGUUUUCCAAUCAAAGCUUCUUCUUUCUCUACAUUAUGUGUUUCAGAUUCAUCAAUUCUUUCAGUGGCAGCUUCUGUCUCUUCCCUGUUUUGUUUUUUGGGUUCUUCAAUUGGUGGUUCUUUAGGUUUCUCUUCAAUUAUUGGUUCUUCAAGUUUCUCUUUACCUGCUAGUUCUUCAGGUAUCUCAUUAACUGUUGGUUCUUCAAAGUUCUCAACUGCUGAUUCCUCAGGUUUCUCCUCAACUGAUGGUUCUUCAUGUUUUUCAUCAACUGUAGCUUCUUCAGGUUUCACCUCAACUGUUGGUUCCUCAAGUUUUUGGUCAACUACUUGUUCUUCAGUUGCUAGUUCUUCAGGUUUCUUUUCAACUGCUAGCUCUUCACGUGUCUCUUUAACCACUGGUUCUUCAGGUGUUUCUUUCACCUCUGGUUCUUGAGAUUGCUCCUCAAUCACUGAUUCUUGGGGUUUCUCUUCACUUUUUGGUUUGGGUGUUACUUCAACUGCUGGUUCUUCAGGUUUUCCUUCAACUGCUAGUUCUUCAGGUUUUUCAUCAAUUGUUGGUUCUUCAAGUUUCUCUUGAACUGUUGGUUCUUUUGGUUUCUCUUGAACUUCUGGUUCUUGAGGUUUCUCUUCAAUCAUUGGUUGUUCAGGUGUUUCUUUCGCCACAGGUUCUUCUAGUGUCCCUUCAAUCACUGGUUCGUCGGAUUUCUCCUCAACCGCUGGUUCUUUGGGUUUCUCCUCAACUUUUGAUUCUUCAAGUUUCUCCCUAACAACUGGUUCUUCUGGUUUCUGUUCAACUGUCGGUUCCACUGGUUUCUCUUCAACUGCUGAAUCUUCAGGCGUUUCCUCAACUUCAAUGGUAUUGCAUGAAAUUUCUUGAGGUUUCUCGUCAACUAGUUGUUCAGGUGUCCCUUCAACUGCUGGUUUGUCAGGUUUCUCUGGUUCUUCGAGUUUCUCCUCAAUUUUUGGUUCUUCGGGUUUCUCCUCGAUGUCAAAUUCUUCCCGUUUCUCUUCAACUGUCGAUUCCUUGAGUUUCUCUUCAACUGCUGAAUCUUCGGGUUUUUCCUCAAUUUCAGCAAAAUCAUUGUUGGUAUUGCAUGAAAUUUCAUUGCCAGUCUUAUCAUUUGAGUCCACAACAUGCUUAUUCUGCUAGAAGAAAGUUUCACUUAAUUUUUCAAUAGAUAAGCAGAUGUGAAUUCAUUGCACAUACAUAACUAUUAGGAUGGACAACUUUGUGACAGUGUUUGAUCCUCACCUUUUCGAGGGGCGUUACCUUUUCAGCUGCUGCUUUCUCUAGUUUCUCUUCAACAACUACUUCUUCAUGUUUCUCUUCAGCUACUUGUUUGUCAGGUGUUUCUUCCCGUGCUGGUUUAUCAACUGUUUCUUCCCCUGCAACUGGUUCGUCAAGCUUCUCUUCAACUACUAAUUUUUCAGGUGUUUCCUCAACCAUUAGUUCUUCGAAUUUCUCCGAUACAACUGGUUCUUUAGGUUUCUCUUUCAGUGCAGGUUCCUCAUAUUUUUUUUCUAUUACUGUUUCUUCAUGUUUUUCCUCAACAGCUGGAUAGUCAGAAACAUCACUGUUGUCGUUGCACAGAAUUUCACCAUUAAUCUUGUCUGUUGAGUGACUUGAGUCCGUAUCUGGCAUAUUCUACAAGAAGAAUUUAAAGAUUCACUAAGACUUUUAAUAGAUAAGUAGAUGCAAAUUCCUUGCAUGUAUAGAGCUAAUAGGAUGGUAAACUCUGCGACAGUGCUCGAUUACCUUUUCCAAGAGAGUCACCGUUUCAACUGCUUGUUUUUCAGAUUUCUGUUCAAUAGCUAGUUCUUCCGGUGUCUCUUCAACUGCUGGUUUGUUGGGAUUCUCUUCAACUAUUAGGUCUUCAGGUGUUUCCGCUCUUGCUUGCUCUACAAGUGUUUCUUCAAUUGCCAAUUUUUGAAGUUUCUCAUUUAUUACUGGUUCUUCAGGUUUAUCCUCAACAAUUGGUUCCUCAUGUUUUUCCUCAACCAUUGGUUCUUCAGUUUUUUCCUCAACUGCUGGAUAGUCAGCAACAUCAAUGUUGGUAAUGCAUGGAGUUUCAGUGUCAGUCUUCCCUUUUGAAUCUAUAGCUGACAUAUCCUGCAAGAAAAAUUUAAAGUUUUACUUAGUCUUCCAAUAGAUAAACAUAUGUGAAUUGUUGCACAUACAUAACUAAUAGUACAGUUAAAGCUUGUGAUUGUACUUGAUCCUUACCUCUUCCAACAAAGUUACCUUUUCAGGUUUCUCUUCGAUUACUAGUUUUUCAAGGUUCUUUUCAUCUGCUAGAUCUUCAGGUGUUUCUUCAACUACAGGUUCUUCAGAUUUCUCUUCAACUGUUGGUUCUUCAAGUUUCUCCUCGAAAACUUGUUCUUCAGUUUUUUUUUCCACAGCCGGUUCUUCAGGUUUCUCUGUCACUGCUGGUUCAUCAGUUUUUUCAUUAACCGCUGGUUCUUCACGUUUCUCUUCAAUCACUUGUUUUUCAUGUUUUUCUUUAACUACCUGUACUUCAGCUUUAUCUUCAACUGUUGGAUAGUAAGCAACAUCGUUGUUUGAAUUGCCUAGAAUUUCACUGUCAAUCUUGUCCUUUGAGUCUACAAUUGGCAUAUUCUGCAAGAGAAGUUCAAAAAUUCGAUUUAAUCUUCCAAUAGAUUGGCAUAUGUGAGUUCGUUGCACAUAUAAAGCUAUUAGAAUGGAUAAACUUUGUGACAUUGUUUAUCCUCACCUUCUCUAGGAGAGUUUCCAUUUCUGGUUUCUCCUCUUCAAUUGCUGGUUUGUCAUGUUUCUCUUCAACAGCUAUCUCUUCAGAGGUCUCUUCAACCAUUGGUUCUUCAGGUUUCUCUUCAAGUGGUAGUUCAGGUGUUUCCUCCCCUGCUAGCUCUUCAGGUGUUUCUUUAGUUGUUGGUUCUUCAAGUUUCUCUUCAACAGUUGGUUCUUUAGGUUUCUCCUCAACUGGUUCUUCAGAUUUCUCCUCAAUUGUUGGUUCUUCAGGUUUCUCCAUAAUUGCUGGUAUAUCAAGUUUCUCUUCAAUAACCGGUUUUUCCACAGCUGCUGGUUUUUCAGGGUUUUUCUCAUCUUCUAGAAAGUGAGCAGCAUUGUUGCUAGUAUUGCAGGGAAUUUUAUUGUCAGUUUUUUCCUUCGAGUCUGCAACUAGCAAAUUCUGUAAGAAGAAUUUAAAGUUUCACUUAGUCUUUCAGUAGAUAAGCAGAUGUAAAUUGUUGUACAUACAUAACUAAUAGGACAGAUAAACUUUAUGACAGUGCUUGAC